GACAGAGGGGGCAAGCGUUGCUCGGAAUUACUGGGCGUAAAGGGCGCGUAGGCGGGAUGGCAAGUCGGUCGUGAAAUCCUUCGGCUCAACCGAAGAACGUCGAUCGAUACUGCUGUUCUUGAGGGUUGCAGAGGAGACUGGAAUUCCCGGUGUAGCGGUGAAAUGCGUAGAUAUCGAGAGGAACACCUGCGGCGAAGGCGGGUUGCUGGGCUGACACUGACGCUGACAGCGCGAAAGCUAGGGGAGCGAACGGG
rnacentral:rRNA from 1 species